rnacentral:rRNA from 1 species
AUUGAACGCUGGCGGCAGGCCUAACACAUGCAAGUCGAACGGUAGCACAGAGAGCUUGCUCUCGGGUGACGAGUGGCGGACGGGUGAGUAACGUCUGGGAAACUGCCCGAUGGAGGGGGAUAACUACUGGAAACGGUAGCUAAUACCGCAUAACGUCGCAAGACCAAAGUGGGGGACCUUCGGGCCUCACACCAUCGGAUGUACCCAGAUGGGAUUAGCUAGUAGGUGGGGUAAUGGCUCACCUAGGCGACGAUCCCUAGCUGGUCUGAGAGGAAGACAGGCCACACUGGAACUGAGACACGGUCCAGACUCCUACGGGAGGCAGCAGUGGGGAAUAUUGCACAAUGGGCGCAAGCCUGAUGCAGCCAUGCCGCGUGUAUGAAGAAGGCCUUCGGGUUGUAAAGUACUUUCAGCGGGGAGGAAGGCGGUGAAGUUAAUAGCUUCACCGAUUGACGUUACCCGCAGAAGAAGCACCGGCUAACUCCGUGCCAGCCGCCGCCGUAACAC